rnacentral:rRNA from 1 species
UGGGGAAUAUUGGACAAUGGGCGCAAGCCUGAUCCAGCCAUGCCGCGUGAGUGAUGAAGGCCUUAGGGUUGUAAAGCUCUUUUGCCAGGGAAGAUAAUGACUGUACCUGGAGAAUAAGCCCCGGCUAACUUCGUGCCAGCAGCCGCGGUAAUACGAAGGGGGCUAGCGUUGUUCGGAAUCACUGGGCGUAAAGCGCACGUAGGCGGACUCUUAAGUCAGGGGUGAAAGCCUGAGGCUCAACCUCAGAACUGCCCUUGAUACUGGGAGUCUUGAGUAUGGUAGAGGUUGGUGGAACAGCAAGUGUAGAGGUGAAAUUCGUAGAUAUUUGCUAGAACACCAGUGGCGAAGGCGGCCAACUGGACCAUAACUGACGCUGAGGUGCGAAAGCGUGGGGAGCAAA